rnacentral:rRNA from 1 species
AGGACGAACGCUGGCGGCGCGCUUAACACAUGCAAGUCGAGCGAUCGACUCCGGGCUUGCCCGGAGCACGGAGCGGCGAACGGGUGAGUAACACGUGGGUGACCUACCCUUGGUUCCGGGAUAACUCCGGGAAACCGGCGCUAAUACCGGAUGGCCUCCGAUGUCUACGGACGUUUGAGAAAAGGUAGCUUUGGCCUCCGACCAAGGAUGGGCCCGCGGCCGAUUAGCUUGUUGGUGAGGUAAUGGCUCACCAAGGCGACGAUCGGUAGCUGGUGUGAGAGCAUGACCAGCCACACUGGGACUGAGACACGGCCCAGACUCCUACGGGAGGCAGCAGUGGGGAAUCUUGCGCAAUGGGCGAAAGCCUGACGCAGCGACGCCGCGUGCGGGAAGAAGGCCCUAGGGUUGUAAACCGCUUUCAGCAGGGAAGAAGAUGACGGUACCUGUAGAAGAAGGUGCGGCCAACUACGUGCCAGCAGCCGC